UACGAAGGGGGCUAGCGUUGUCCGGAAUCAUUGGGCGUAAAGAGCGUGUAGGCGGCCCGGUAAGUCCGCUGUGAAAGUCAAAGGCUCAACCUUUGAAUGUCAGCGGAUACUGCCGGGCUAGAGUCCGGAAGAGGCGAGUGGAAACUCCUGGUGUAGCGGUGGAAUGCGCAGAUAUCAGGAAGAACACCAACGGCGAAGGCAGCUCGCUGGGACGGUACUGACGCUGAGACGCGAAAGCGUGGGGAGCGAACAGG
rnacentral:rRNA from 1 species